UGUGAAUGAGUCGGUUUGUUGUUGUGCUCUUUAUUUUCUGAGGCCUCUCCUGUUGCUCUGGGCGGCUCCGUAUAUUAAUACGUUUGCAGAAAAUAUUGAAACAUGGAUUGUGAAAUACAGUUAUGUUGCAGAAUAUGCUGUUCUCUCACUUGUUGUUUAUUCAGCUCUUUUCGCAAGUGCUUGGGAAAGGUUUCUAAAUUAUGCUGUAUUUAAUAAAGUCGUCAUAAUAGUGCUGUUUGCAAUAGUGUUUGUGUGCUGCCUCUGCAGAAUCAUUUACGUUUUAGUUACAGAGGUUGGACAGAAAAGUGGACGGAUAAUAGAAAUCUUUGGCCUUGUGGCUGAUAUGACCUUUGAUAUUCUGCCUA